UGCAUGCGGCAGCUACCAUGCAGUCGUACGAGAAGGUUCUUUCGGGAACUGGAGAGUGGCGCACGGGUGAGUAACGCGUGGGGACCUACCUCUUAGUGGGGGAUAACGGUUGGAAACGACCGCUAAUACCGCAUACGCCCUUCGGGGGAAAGAUUUAUCGCUAAGAGAUGGACCCGCGUUGGAUUAGAUAGUUGGUGAGGUAACGGCUCACCAAGUCAGCGAUCCAUAGCUGGUUUGAGAGGAUGAUCAGCCACACUGGGACUGAGACACGGCCCAGACUCCUACGGGAGGCAGCAGUGGGGAAUAUUGGACAAUGGGCGCAAGCCUGAUCCAGCCAUGCCGCGUGAGUGAAGAAGGCCUUCGGGUUGUAAAGCUCUUUCAGAUGCGAAGAUGAUGACGGUAACAUCAGAAGAAGCCCCGGCUAAUUUCGUGCCAGCAGCCGCGGUAAUACGAAAGGGGCAAGCGUUGUUCGGAUUUACUGGGCGUAAAGGGCACGCAGGCGGUCCUGCCAGUCAGGG
rnacentral:rRNA from 1 species